rnacentral:rRNA from 1 species
GAGUUUGAUCUUGGCUCAGAUUGAACGCUGGCGGCAUGCCUUACACAUGCAAGUCGAACGGCAGCAUGAUCUAGCUUGCUAGAUUGAUGGCGAGUGGCGAACGGGUGAGUAAUACAUCGGAACGUGCCCUGUAGUGGGGGAUAACUAGUCGAAAGAUUAGCUAAUACCGCAUACGACCUGAGGGUGAAAGUGGGGGACCGCAAGGCCUCAUGCUAUAGGAGCGGCCGAUGUCUGAUUAGCUAGUUGGUGGGUAAAGGCUCACCAAGGCGACGAUCAGUAGCUGGUCUGAGAGGACGAUCAGCCACACUGGGACUGAGACACGGCCCAGACUCCUACGGGAGGCAGCAGUGGGGAAUUUUGGACAAUGGCGAAAGCCUGAUCCAGCAAUGCCGCGUGUGUGAAGAAGGCCUGUGUAA